rnacentral:lncRNA from 10 species
CCUCACCUGGCCAGCGGGACGCGCCCGGGAACCCCGCACGCGGGCGGGCCGCCUCUUUGUUAGCAAGUUUGCCUUUCUGUGAUUCAGAGCACGCGGAGCGAAUUAAGUGGAGUGAGGGGUGAGUGAGGUCUAUGGGGGUAAGCCCCCCCGCCUCCCCGUAGACCUCCUGGAAUGCCUGGAACAGCUCAGCAACCUGGGCACAGGUGGCUUGAGACAACCUAGCCAUUCGGGCCUGCUGCCAGAGUGAACGCCACAGGGAGGCCUGCCGGGUCUGGGGAGCAUGAGCUGGUCAGGCCCCCAGUAGACCCCUUGCAGGCUGAUCUCCAUCUCCAUGCAGAGUCUGUAUCCUAGAAAUCCAACCUGAGAUCCUGCGGCACCGAGAAAGGGAAGCUGUUUCAAGAGAUAGGAAUUGUCAGAAAAAGCCGGAGAAGGUGGUGUUAAAGGAAAACAUUGAGAAUGGGGAGUGAAGACGAGGGUUUUUCGUAGCAGAAGAUGGAUCUUCGAAAGCCAGGAGGCAGAGGAGAGCAACGCUGUCGGUGAGAUAAAGGAAGUUUUCAAAAACCUGCUUCUGUAACUAGUGGACAGGUCUUCUGGAUCCAAGGUCACCUGCUGGGGAGAAAGAGAAGCCUUUGGAUAAACAUCACAAGUUUUCCUGGAACAUGGAUUUUAUUUAAGAUUUUUUGGAAAGAAGGGAAUAAGGUUUUUACCUUUGUAAUGUUUUUACAAAUAUUUUCAAAAGUGUAACAUGUAUAUGUGCUCAUUUUAGAAAAUUUGAUCAGUAUAAAAUAUUAAAGAAGAAAGUAAAAGCUCAUUUGGAAUCUUAUCUGUUGGAAGGAAUCACUGUCUUGCUAUAUGUUGGUGAAUAUCCUUUUGAUGAUGUGUAUGUGUGUCAGUGUGUGUUUGUAACUUGAAUUUUUAAAGUUUGAGAAUAUAUUCUAGUCGUCUU